AGGAAGAGUUGGCAGAGACUCCCCACGAGGGAGUGAGAGAGCAGGGAGACUCCUCCCUCCCGCCCCCAGGACGAAACAAUGACCAUCCAGGUCAAUGGCAGGGAAUUCGGGGAAAUCGUGCUAGGGCAACCCGAGGAAGCCACUGUCGGUAUCAUCUGGAUGUCAGUGCCGUCUUGGGGGAUGGUUCCCCACAGAGCUAGAGAUGAUUUGCCUGUGGCCACAUCCAGUUCCUCUAAAUGCCCCCGGGGAUUCAGUGGGCCCGAGGGAAUCCGGAAGAGAGGACUGGUCAGUCCCAAAUUAACUGGGCAUCUCUGUUGGUGGUAGCUGGCCGACACCACGUACACCUCCCUAGUGCUCCCGCCUGUUGCUCAGAUGAUGCCAGAGAGGUGGAGACCCCAUCCACGUUGUUAAGUGUGGCAGAAAAGACCGAUGGAUGACCAGCUCUUCUUCCCACAUUGUUUCCCCACUAAAAUAAAUUAGCUCCUCACCACACUGAUGGAUGUUUCCGCUGAGGGGUCCAUGUC